rnacentral:misc_RNA from 1 species
GGAAGUAAAAGUCGUAACGAGGUUUCCGUAGGUGAACCUGCGGAAGGAUCAUUAAAGAGUAAGGGUCUUCGGGCCCGAUCUCCAACCCUUAGUUUAACUACCAUGUUGCUUUGGCGGGCCCGUCUCACGACCGCCGGAAGUUUGGCUUCGACCAAACUUCUGGCCCGUGCCCGUCAGUGGCCCCUUCAAAUUCUUGAUCAAGUAUGAUGUCUUAGUUAAAAACUUAAUAGUUAAAACUUUCAACAACGGAUCUCUUGGUUCUG